ACUAAUUAAUAUCAAUAGGUUAAUUUAUAAAUGUUAUGGCAUUUCUUUUAACAUUAGCUAAACUUUUGUUGUUGAGUAUAUAUAAUUAUGUUGAAAUGAAUGAACAUUUGACAAGGAAGAAGGCUCCUCUGCAGGGGACCAGUGCAUUAUGACUGCACCGGUGUAAAACCUUCGUAUUACUAAAUAACAGCGUAAUGUCAAGAGACACUCCAUGACAUUGUAAUGCCAAGUUAACAUCCCCGUCUCUGUACAAUCACGAGGUUUCAGCCGGCCAGCUAUUACUGAAGUAGAAAAAGAAGCAAAAGCCAUAAAGCAGCUAAGACAAACCCGUCUAAGUUCUCAAUGACAAGUCGGAUAACACGGAGUAAAGUUCCUUGUUCAUCAUUGAAGAAAAACAACAAGAGUUCUUUGAGGGCAUAGCCCAGGAGCCAGGAACCAUCCCCUUGUCUCAAGAGGGAUCUCAGUGCGGUAAUGAGCUUGUAUCCACUCUGCCCGCAGCACAGCGGUGGCCUCCUCUCGAGAUCUGCACCUGUCAACACAGAAGCAAUCAGGGCCUACAGACAACGAUAAUGAUGACAAGAUGAAAACUACAGUACGGAAAAGAAACAAUGGCUGUACUCAGGUUGACUGAGAUCACUGGGUUCGAACUAUAUGGAGCCAGUCAGUCAAACAAAAUUGGACGGGCAUCGAAAAUACCGACCUGGACCAAACUGUAUUUUGCCCCGCAGCUAUACAGAUUUUGCUUGACACAGAAUACAAAAUAUCCAGUAAGUGACGCAGAUACAGAUUUUAAGAUUGUUUUAUGGCGUAAGGAGUGGUUUUUGUGGACGAACACCUAAUAAAAACAUGCCAAAGCGGAGUCAUAAAUGUCACCACACGACAACUCUCUCAUAUUGAUGUGUUUUGUUGUUAUGUUGUUUAGAAAGUAUCAUCUUAUAAAUGUAAACGGCUAAUAGAUACGGUACUUGGUUGUUGGUACAUUUAUUACAGUAUUUACUUGUUUACUGUACAACUGGUUAUUAAACCAUUCUGGUCCGGUGAGAGGGACACAAACAAUUUUCUGCAUUAAAACAAAAUACAAAGGUGUAGUUGAUAGACAUAUGUUUUCUUA